rnacentral:rRNA from 1 species
AAGCUCUUUUGUCAGGAAAGAAAUCCUAUUCGCUAAUACCGAGUGGGGAUGACGGUACCUGAAGAAUAAGCACCGGCUAACUACGUGCCAGCAGCCGCGGUAAUACGUAGGGUGCGAGCGUUAAUUGGAAUUACUGGGCGUAAAGCGUGCGCAGGCGGUUGUGCAAGACAGAUGUGAAAUCCCCGGGCUUAACCUGGGAAUUGCAUUUGUGACUGCACGGCUAGAGUGUGUCAGAGGGGGGUAGAAUUCCACGUGUAGCAGUGAAAUGCGUAGAGAUGUGGAGGAAUACCGAUGGCGAAGGCAGCCCCCUGGGAUAACACUGACGCUCAUGCACGAAAGCGUGGGGAGCAAACAGGAUUAGAUACCCUGGUAGUCCACGCCCUAAACGAUGUCUACUAGUUGUCGGGUCUUAAUUGACUUGGUAACGCAGCUAACGCGUGAAGUAGACCGCCUGGGGAGUACGGUCGCAAGAUUAAAACUCAAAGGAAUUGACGGGGACCCGCACAAGCGGUGGAUGAUGUGGAUUAAUUCGAUGCAACGCGAAAAACCUUACCUACCCUUGACAUGUACGGAACCCUGCUGAAAGGUGGGGGUGCUCGAAAGAGAGCCGUAACACAGGU